GAUGAACGCUAGCUACAGGCUUAACACAUGCAAGUCGCGGGGCAGCAUGGGGGUUGCUUGCAACCCCUGAUGGCGACCGGCGCACGGGUGAGUAACGCGUAUCCAACCUGCCCUUCACCACGGGAUAACCCGGCGAAAGUCGGACUAGUACCGUAUGUUGUCCAUUGACGGCAUCCGAGUUGGAGGAAAGGCUUGGCGGCGAGAGGGUGGGGAUGCGUCCGCUUAGCUUGACGGCGGGGUAACGGCCCACCGUGGCUACGAUCGGUAGGGGUUCUGAGAGGAAGGGCCCCCACACUGGAACUGGGACACGGUCCAGACUCCUACGGGAGGCAGCAGUGAGGAAUAUUGGUCAAUGGGCGUAAGCCUGAACCAGCCAAGUAGCGUGCAGGAUGACGGCCCUAUGGGUUGUAAACUGCUUUUAUGCGGGGAUAAAGUGGCCCACGUGUGGGCUUUUGCAGGUACCGCAUGAAUAAGAACCGGCUAAUUCCGUG
rnacentral:rRNA from 1 species